rnacentral:ribozyme from 14 species
AAAUGGUAAGCAGCAGUAAAAAAUAAGGAAUGAAUAAAACAUGGAAUUGAAUUUGAAUACCAUUUUUUAUCUUUCUCUCUCUCUCUCUCUCUCUGUCUCUCA